rnacentral:misc_RNA from 1 species
ACAUACAGGAAUCUGCUCUAUGCAAGGACAGUAAAUACUUAUCCUGCGCGUUUGUGCAAUUCUUUCGUCUUUUUUCCCCUUCCUGUCAACGUUCAUGCGUUGAGCAAUGCUGCCAGCUGCGAAUAUCUACCGACUAAUUCUGAUUGUAGCCGGCGUUGUCGUGCUGCUCGGCAGCGCGGUGUCAGAUGUUCGCGUUGGCGUGACAAGGUGUGGCGGAAUCAUCCCGAUUGACAGUCAGUAUCUUCUUGACCCUGUCUGGGCCUUUACAACCUUCCGAAACCGUAUUGAAAGGUUAAGCAACGGCUCUCUCGUCUUCGAGAAAAGGUUUGUUUCUGAGAGACUCAAGGAGCAGAUAGUGAUGGAGUCUGGCACGGACCUCAGCAGUGUGACUGUGUUCGAGAUUGUGCCGACGACUGGCAAAAGCACCGAUGCUGCAGGUUCAAAAAGUGCCAGUGAGCUGUGCUCCGUCUCUCUCGACCCUCUGGCUGGCGCCAUGGAUGGUGUUGUCUCCCGCGGCGCGCGCCUCACUUUUCUCAACGCGGAUCCUACAGAGAGUGAGGCGUGCUCUUCGGCUUUGAAUGUCUCCCUGCAACCGCACCAGGGAAACGCAACCUGGGUUUACUUUGCCAGGGCCAAGCUCGCACACUCGAACUCGAUCACAUUGGUCAGCGCCUCCGGCGUCACGUGGCCGAUGACGCUCACUUUCAGCUCUGAAUGCGCAAUUCAGCUGAUUCUCCUCUUGAAUCGGUAUGGUGCAAUCGACCGAUGGUUUGUAUGGAUACCAACGACCGCCUACACUGGUGCAGUAGUGGCUAUUCUUCUUCCCGUCGUUCUACUUCGUUCGCGACUUCCCAUUCACCUCGCCGGGGUCUGCUUGUUUUUGGUUUUCCUAGGGUUUUUCGGCUCUUGCAUUGGUCUUGUUGUCGAGCUGCUUCAAUGGCAGAGCGCGGUGGGAAGGCUGUAUCCUUUCCCAGACUCGGUCACGCUUUACUGCUGUCUUUGCCUGCUGUACACACUGCUGUUCGUGCCUGUUUUGUACCGCCAAGGAAACAACACAAUCCUCUUUAUGGGAGUAACUCGGCUCCUUAUUUUUGGUCUCAACUGUGCCCUGUGCGUCGGUUAUUGGAUAAUGGGUUUCGUAGUUUUGGGUUCUUUGGCAGUACUUCAGUAUCUGGUCACCAAUUUUAUUCUAACCUACUACUAUGCCUACGUUUCAGUGUACCUGCGACGUGCAGUGAAGGGAACUUCGUCCCUACCCAAGUUCUCGAACAACUUCGUGUAUCUCUGGUGCGCGCCUGUCACACCGUUCGCAUGCUGUGCGCUGAUGUACUACGACUUGUAUCUGCUCACUCACAGCAACGUUGAGCGCGAUCCCGUGGCGGCUCGCAUGCAAGAUGUCGUUCGUAUCUACAACGCCCAGCUGUCAUUGCCGCUUCUGUUUGUUCAGAAUGUGUAUGGGGUCGCACUCCUAGCAACCGCUUGUGCUUAUCACAUGCCUUUUUUUACGCUUCUUUUUGUGGCUCUUCUCCUCUGGAUCGUGCACUCCAUUUACGUGGUUGAACAGUGCACAAAAGAGUGGGCACGGUGGCACCGGCGCGGCCGGUCUUUGGGAUUUUGCGAGUGCCUUUCUAUCUCUACCGCCAUGACGGCACUCCUCUCCCUGGAUUACGAAGCGAAUGCGUCGCGAACAGCCAGUUUGUCUCCGCACAGUGUGCGACAAGCUCCUCAAUCGAAUCAGCACCAGAGAGGUAUCGUCGCGUAUCAGACAGGAGAGGCACUUUACACUCCUUCAGAAGAGAACGAUAGCAGCGAAGUGGUUUCCCCGCCUUCUCCGUCUUCUUAUCAUUCGGGGGACAAUCAUCUGUCGACGUCCCAACGACGCCCCGCAAGUAACCCUGCAGGAUCCACUACCCUGCCUACAGAGCGUAUCAACGAUGUUCUGGAGUUCUGGCCGAACAGCGUGGAAAGGUAGCGCUCAUGCACGUUGUCGCCAAGCGUUGUCGUGGUUCCUUGACGGGACCUGCUUACUUGAUUGAAGUACGAUGCGCAUGCUGGUUUGCACCUUUCCUUUGGCAUUUGCAUCGUCUGAGUUUUAUACGUGGACUUCUUUUUCGGUCCCGUUCACCCCCCUUGCCGUUGCGUGUCGUCAUAGAAAAUCGAAUCAAGGUCGUGGGCACAAACGCGCAUUCUCGUGUACAGUGCAGAGAUGGAAAAGGACCCCCUGCUCCGACUCCUUUCAUCCUCUCAGGUCGAACACGUGAAGCACAGGUGGGGUGCUAAAAAGAGGUGCAACUACGCGUUCACCCCGAAGUGGCUGCCAACCCUCUGAACGAUAAUAAUUACUAAAAGGAUCAUCGCAACACCAUUCGAAUCCACCACUGUUUUGCACGACUCUCUUUUCUUUGUUUCUAUGAAAUGCUUUGAACUUUUUUUGUUUGUCACACUCGCCACCCACGCCCGCCGACCGUUUGUGGCUAG